GACGAACGCUGGCGGCGUGCUUAACACAUGCAAGUCGAACGGAAAGGCCCUGCUUUUGUGGGGUGCUCGAGUGGCGAACGGGUGAGUAACACGUGAGUAACCUGCCCUUGACUUUGGGAUAACUUCAGGAAACUGGGGCUAAUACCGGAUAGGAGCUCCUGCUGCAUGGUGGGGGUUGGAAAGUUUCGGCGGUUGGGGAUGGACUCGCGGCUUAUCAGCUUGUUGGUGGGGUAGUGGCUUACCAAGGCUUUGACGGGUAGCCGGCCUGAGAGGGUGACCGGCCACAUUGGGACUGAGAUACGGCCCAGACUCCUACGGGAGGCAGCAGCGGGGAAUAUUGCACAAUGGGCGGAAGCCUGAUGCAGCAACGCCGCGUGCGGGAUGACGGCCUUCGGGUUGUAAACCGCUUUCGCCUGUGACGAAGCGUGAGUGACGGUAAUGGGUAAAGAAGCACCGGCUAACUACGUGCCAGCAGCCGCGGUGAUACGUAGGGUGCGAGCGUUGUCCGGAUUUAUUGGGCGUAAAGGGCUCGUAGGUGGUUGAUCGCGUCGGAAGUGUAAUCUUGGGGCUUAACCCUGAGCGUGCUUUCGAUACGGGUUGACUUGAGGAAGGUAGGGGAGAAUGGAAUUCCUGGUGGAGCGGUGGAAUGCGCAGAUAUCAGGAGGAACACCAGUGGCGAAGGCGGUUCUCUGGGCCUUUCCUGACGCUGAGGAGCGAAAGCGUGGGGAGCGAACAGGCUUAGAUACCCUGGUAGUCCACGCUGUAAACGGUGGGUACUAGGUGUGGGGUCCAUUCCACGGGUUCCGUGCCGUAGCUAACGCUUUAAGUACCCCGCCUGGGGAGUACGGCCGCAAGGCUAAAACUCAAAGGAAUUGAUGGGGCCCCGCACAAGCGGCGGAGCAUGCGGAUUAAUUCGAUGCAACGCGUAGAACCUUACCUGGGUUUGACAUGGAUCGGGAGUGCUCAGAGAUGGGUGUGCCUCUUUUGGGGUCGGUUCACAGGUGGUGCAUGGCUGUCGUCAGCUCGUGUCGUGAGAUGUUGGGUUAAGUCCCGCAACGAGCGCAACCCUUGUUCACUGUUGCCAGCACGUUAUGGUGGGGACUCAGUGGAGACCGCCGGGGUCAACUCGGAGGAAGGUGGGGAUGACGUCAAGUCAUCAUGCCCCUUAUGUCCAGGGCUUCACGCAUGCUACAAUGGCUGGUACAGAGAGUGGCGAGCCUGUGAGGGUGAGCGAAUCUCGGAAAGCCGGUCUCAGUUCGGAUUGGGGUCUGCAACUCGACCUCAUGAAGUCGGAGUCGCUAGUAAUCGCAGAUCAGCAACGCUGCGGUGAAUACGUUCCCGGG
rnacentral:rRNA from 1 species